CGGACUGGAGUCUGCAACCCGACUCCACGAAGUUGGAUUCGCUAGUAAUCGCGCAUCAGCCAUGGCGCGGUGAAUACGUUCCCGGGCCUUGUACACACCGCCCGUCAAGCCAUGGGAGCCGGGGCGCCUGAAGUCCGGGACCGCGAGGACCGGCCUAGGGCGAAACUGGUAACUGGGGCUAAGUCGUAACAAGGUAUC
rnacentral:rRNA from 1 species